rnacentral:rRNA from 1 species
UACAGAGGUCUCAAGCGUUGUCCGGAAUCAUUGGGCGUAAAGCGCGUGUAGGCGGCUCGGUAAGUCCGCUCUGAAAGUCCAGGGCUCAACCCUGGGAUGCGGGUGGAUACUGCCGGGCUCGAGUCCGGAAGAGGCGAGUGGAAUUCCCGGUGUAGCGGUGAAAUGCGCAGAUAUCAGGAAGAACACCUAUGGCGAAGGCAGCUCUCUGGGACGGUACUGACGCUGAGACGCGAAAGCGUGGGGAGCGAACAGG